AUCACAAAAUCUGGAGAAGGCAGGUCAUGCCUACCGAAGGGAAGAAAAUGCUUAAUUUUCAAUAAUUUAGCAUUGAAAAUCUCAGGUAACAGGACAGAUGGGGUGCU
rnacentral:ncRNA from 1 species